CCUACGGGUGGCAGCAGUGAGGAAUAUUGGUCAAUGGACGAGAGUCUGAACCAGCCAAGUAGCGUGAAGGAUGACUGCCCUAUGGGUUGUAAACUUCUUUUAUAUGGGAAUAAAACAGGGUAUGCAUACCCUCUUGUAUGUACCAUAUGAAUAAGGAUCGGCUAACUCCGUGCCAGCAGCCGCGGUAAUACGGAGGAUCCGAGCGUUAUCCGGAUUUAUUGGGUUUAAAGGGAGCGGAGGUGGAUUGUUGAGUCAGUUGUGAAAGUGUGCGGCUCAACCGUAAAGUUGCAGUUGAUACUGGCAGUCGUGAGUACAGUAGAGGUGGGCGGAAUUCGUGGUGUAGCGGUGAAAUGCUUAGAUAUCACGAAGAACUCCGAUUGCGAAGGCAGCCUGCUGGACUGUAACUGACGCUGAUGCACGAAAGUGUGGGUAUCAAACAGGAUUAGAUACCCCUGUAGUC
rnacentral:rRNA from 1 species